rnacentral:rRNA from 1 species
AUUGAACGCUGGCGGCAUGCCUUACACAUGCAAGUCGAACGGUAACAGGGAGCUUGCUCCGCUGACGAGCGGCGAACGGGUGAGUAAUGCAUCGGAACGUACCCAGUAGUGGGGGAUAACGCAGCGAAAGCUGUGCUAAUACCGCAUACGCACUGAGGUGGAAAGCAGGGGACCUUCGGCCUUGUGCUAUUGGAGCGGCCGAUGUCAGAUUAGCUAGUUGGUGGGGUAAAAACUCACCCAGGCGACGAUCUGUAGCUGGUCUGGGAGGAUGAUCAGCCGCACUGGGACUGAGACACGCACCAGAGUCCUACGGGAGGCAGAAGUGGGGAAUUUUGGACAAUGGGGGCAACCCUGAUCCAGCCAUGCCGCGUGAGUGAAGAAGGCCUUCGGGUUGUAAAGCUCUUUCGGCCGGGAAGAAAUCGCCAUCUCUAACAUAGGUGGUGGAUGACGGUACCGGAAUAAGAAGCACCGGCUAACUACGUGCCAGCCGCCGCCGUAA